rnacentral:rRNA from 1 species
AUUGAACGCUGGCGGCAGGCUUAACACAUGCAAGUCGAACGAGUGGCGGACGGGUGAGUAAUGUAUGGGGAUCUGCCCGAUAGAGGGGGAUAACUACUGGAAACGGUGGCUAAUACCGCAUACUAUCGGAUGAACCCAUAUGGGAUUAGCUAGUAGGUGGGGUAAUGGCUCACCUAGGCGACGAUCCCUAGCUGGUCUGAGAGGAUGACCAGCCACACUGGAACUGAGACACGGUCCAGACUCCUACGGGAGGCAGCAGUGGGGAAUAUUGCACAAUGGGCGCAAGCCUGAUGCAGCCAUGCCGCGUGUGUGAAGAAGGCCUUCGGGUUGUAAAGCACUUUCAGCGAGGAGGCGUUACUCGCAGAAGAAGCACCGGCUAACUCCGUGCCAGCCGCCGCGGUAAUUC